AUUGAACGCUGGCGGCAGGCCUAACACAUGCAAGUCGAACGAGUGGCGGACGGGUGAGUAAUGUCUGGGAAACUGCCCGAUGGAGGGGGAGAACUACUGGAACCGGUAGCUAAUACCGCAUACCAUCGGAUGGGACCAGAUGGGAUUAGCUAGUAGGUGGGGUAACGGCUAACAUAGGAGACGAUCCCUAGCUGGUCUGGCAGGAUGACCAGCCACACUGGAACGGUGACACUUACCAGACUCCUGCGGUAGGCAGCAGUGGGGAAGAUUGCCCAAUGGGCGCAAGCCUGAUGCAGCCAUGCCGCGUGUAUGAAGAAGGCCUUCGGGUUGUAAAGUACUUUCAUCGAGGAGGCGUUACUCGCAGAAGAAGCACCGGCUAACUCCGUGCCAGCCGCCGCGGUAAUAC
rnacentral:rRNA from 1 species